rnacentral:rRNA from 1 species
ACAGCAGUAGCCGCGGGAAUACGUAGGGUGCGAGCGUUAAUCGGAAUUACUGGGCGUAAAGCGUGCGCAGGCGGUUUUGUAAGACAGGCGUGAAAUCCCCGGGCUCAACCUGGGAAUGGCGCUUGUGACUGCAAAGCUAGAGUGCGGCAGAGGGGGAUGGAAUUCCGCGUGUAGCAGUGAAGUGCGUAGAUAUGCGGAGGAACACCGAUGGCGAAGGCAAUCCCCUGGGCCUGCACUGACGCUCAUGCACGAAAGCGUGGGGAGCAAACAGGAUUAGAUACCCCAGUAGUCCCUGUCUCUUAUAC